UGUGCGUAUUUUAAUUUUAAUAUGUGUUUUUGGUGCAGUAUGUAUUAUUUCCAAUGUGUGGUUUUGGUGUGGUACGUGUUUUUUUUCAGUAUGUAUUUUUGAUGUACUGCGUGGAUUUUCUUCCAGUAUUCGUUUUCCAGUGUAGUUCUUGAGUAAUUCAAAGCGAAAAAAAACCGCAUACUUCACCACAAACACGCACUUCAAAAAAACACGCACUACACCAAAACACACAUUGAAUAAAAUUCACUACACCGUGAAGCACACACUGGAAAUUCAGUGUACUUCUUGUGUAAAA